GAUGAACGCUGGCGGCGUGCUUAACACAUGCAAGUCGAACGAAGCAUUUGCGACAGAUUUUUUCGGAAUGAAGUUGCUUAUGACUGAGUGGCGGACGGGUGAGUAACGCGUGGGUAACCUGCCUUGUACUGGGGGAUAGCAGCUGGAAACGGCUGGUAAUACCGCAUAAGCGCACAAUGUUGCAUGACGUGGUGUGAAAAACUCCGGUGGUAUAAGAUGGACCCGCGUCUGAUUAGCUAGUUGGUGAGAUAACAGCCCACCAAGGCGACGAUCAGUAGCCGACCUGAGAGGGUGACCGGCCACAUUGGGACUGAGACACGGCCCAGACUCCUACGGGAGGCAGCAGUGGGGAAUAUUGCACAAUGGAGGAAACUCUGAUGCAGCGACGCCGCGUGAGUGAAGAAGUAAUUCGUUAUGUAAAGCUCUAUCAGCAGGGAAGAUAGUGACGGUACCUGACUAAGAAGCUCCGGCUAAAUACGUG
rnacentral:rRNA from 1 species